rnacentral:rRNA from 1 species
UAGCCUUGACAUAUUAUAGAAUUCAGUAGAGAUACAGAAGUGCCUUCGGGAGCUAUAUUACAGGUGCUGCACGGCUGUCGUCAGCUCGUGUCGUGAGAUGUUGGGUUAAGUCCCGCAACGAGCGCAACCCUCGUCACUAGUUACUAACGGUUAGGCCGAGGACUCUAGUGAGACUGCCUUCGUAAGGAGGAGGAAGGUGAGGACGACGUCAAGUCAUCAUGGCCCUUACGGCUAGGGCAACACACGUGCUACAAUGGUUAGGACAAUGAGAAGCGAUACCGCGAGGUGGAGCAAAUCUAUAAACCUAAUCUCAGUUCGGAUAGCAGUCUGCAACUCGACUGCUUGAAGCUGGAAUCACUAGUAAUCGUAAAUCAGCUAUGUUACGGUGAAUACGUUCCCGGGUCU